rnacentral:rRNA from 1 species
UACGUAGGGGGCAAGCGUUAAUCGGAAUUACUGGGCGUAAAGGGUGCGCAGGCGGCUCCGCAUGUCGGGCGUGAAAUCCCCGGGCUUAACCUGGGAAUUGCGUCCGAAACUAUGGAGCUGGAGUGUGGCAGAGGGAGGUGGAAUUCCACGUGUAGCGGUGAAAUGCGUAGAGAUGUGGAGGAACACCGAUGGCGAAGGCAGCCUCCUGGGCCAACACUGACGCUCAUGCACGAAAGCGUGGGGAGCAAACAGG